rnacentral:lncRNA from 1 species
GCAUAAGAGCAAUUGGAAUGGGACGUAUGAGUUGUUCGCUGCUGAUGGCAAUACUUUCACUGUCAAUGGUCAUCGUCUCAAACCGUACUUCAAGUCGAACGUGGAUCGUGGUCUUGAAGUUGUCGAAUUCAAUGACCCAUGAGUUUGAGGUACCGUCAAGCUAUAGACGUUAAUUUUAGCACUUUUUGGGAGGUAACCCAAUUUUUAUUGCUUUCUUUUAGCUUGUUUUUCUUUAGUUUAAUAGUUCUUUUUCGUUUUUCCAAGUCUGUUCUUAAAAAAAAAAAAAAAUCGCAGGACCCGGCGACCGCCGCCUGACCGCCGGGGUCAGGCCAAAUUUAACAAAGGAGCCGGCGACCGCCGCCCGACCGCCGCCGGGUCGCCGCGCGGUCGCCGUGCGUGCGGGCAGGUGCGUUUUAAAUGGUUUUUCUCCCCUUUUCCUCAUUCUUUCACUUCCUUUCACUCC